CCUACGGGAGGCAGCAGUGGGGGAUAUUGGACAAUGGGGGAAACCCUGAUCCAGCGACGCCGCGUGAGUGAAGAAGUAUUUCGGUAUGUAAAGCUCUAUCAGCAGGGAAGAAAGAAAUGACGGUACCUGAGUAAGAAGCCCCGGCUAACUACGUGCCAGCAGCCGCGGUAAUACGUAGGGGGCAAGCGUUAUCCGGAUUUACUGGGUGUAAAGGGAGCGUAGACGGCGAUGCAAGUCUGAAGUGAAAGGCGGGGGCCCAACCCCCGGACUGCUUUGGAAACUGUAUGGCUGGAGUGCAGGAGAGGUAAGUGGAAUUCCUAGGGUAGCGGUGAAAUGCGUAGAUAUUAGGAGGAACACCAGUGGCGAAGGCGGCUUACUGGACUGUAACUGACGUUGAGGCUCGAAAGCGUGGGGAGCAAACAGGAUUAGAUACCCGAGUAGUC
rnacentral:rRNA from 1 species